GUGCACCAGUCGCGAAACUUUACAAUGUGCGAAAGCACGAUAAGGGAACUCUGAGUGCCUCCUAAGGAGGCUGUUCAGGUGUCUAAAAGCACCUGGAGUAAGGGCUGGGUAAGACCGGUGCCAGCCGCCGCGGUAACACCGGCAGCCCAGGUGGUAGCCACUUUUAUUGGGUCUAAAGCGUCCGUAGCCGGUUGAGUAAGUUCCUUGGGAAAUUUGGCUGCUCAACAGUCAAGCUUCCAGGGAAUACUGCUCGACUUGGGACUGGGAGAGGUCAGAGGUACUCCAGGGGUAGGGUGAAAUCCAUUAAUCCCUGGGGGACCACCGGUAGCGAAGGCGUCUGACCAGACCAGGUCCGACGGUGAGGGACGAAGGCUAGGGUCGCGAACCGGAUUAGAUA
rnacentral:rRNA from 1 species